CCACAGCGGAGAACGCGAGCCGGGUCCCGGGCGACGACUUCUCCCCCUCCAGCCUUCGAGAUCUCCAUCCGGAACCGCUUCGCUCCCCUCCGCGAAACAGGACGUGACACUGUGGUCAUCGGAGACUCCACAUCAUCCGACACAUACCCGCGAUCCUGAAGGCCGACGAGAGCCCCAGAGCGGUCGUGCUUCACGCCGGACAACACCACGCUGCGGCAGACGGAGACACUGAAGAGGGACUUCAGCAGCCUGAUCGAGACGGUUCGCAGCACGACGCCCGCGGCAACGAUCGUCGUGUCAGGACCACUGCCUACGUAUCGAUGAGGACACGAAAGGUUCAGUAGACUUUUUGCUUUAAAUGAAUGGUUGUUGUCAUGGUGUAAAGAACAGAAACUGCUAUUUGUUAAUAACUGGAAUCUUUUCUGGGAGGGUCCUAGGCUGUUUCGCGCUGAUGGAUUACUACACCCCAGCAGAAUCGGAGCGGAGCUGCUCUCUGACAACAUCUCCAGGACACUUCGCUCCUUGUGACUAGUCUGACAAGCUGUUCAAGCAGUGCAUGACGCAACUGAUAACCAUAACUGAACUGGCACUGCAAGAGUCUCAUCCAACUCUCACUGACAUUGACAUUGGUUACUGACAUUUGGACAUUCAAGGUUUUGUUUUCUUGAGUUUGUUGUUUGUUUUAAAAUAGCAUGUUUAGCACUUGUUACUACUUGAUCUCACCUGAUCAAUUUUAUUUAAAGCAGCAAUUAACUCUUCCUUUAUCAUCUUAUAAAGAGAUUUGAAAAGCUUUGUUUUUUUGUUUUUUUUACCUCAUUUGGUUCUUACAGUUGAUGAAUGUAAAGAAUAAGCCCCGGCAAUUUUCUGUUGAGUUAGAGAACAAUGAUAUGGCAAUAAACCCACAAUAGACUUAUAGAUUGAACAAAUAUCAAUGAUUACAUGUAAGCCUGUGUUUCAAUAAUGAGGACUAACAUGUACAAAUAUUACUGUUCAUGUACAAAUGUUAUUGCUGACAAUAAUCCAUAAAAUGAACUGUACAAUUACAAUUUGUUAUUUGUUUGUCAAGUCAAGUCACCUUUAUUUAUAUAGCGCUUUAAACAAAAUACAUUGCGUCAAAGCAACUGAAAAACAUUCAUUAGGAAAACAGUGUGUCAAUAAUGCAGAAUGACCGUUAAAGGCAGUUCAUCAUUGAAUUCAGUGAUGUCAUCUCUGUUCAGUUAAACAGUGUCUGUACAUUUAUUUGCAAUCAAGUCAACAAUAUCAUUGUAGAUGAAGUGACCCCAACUAAGCAAGCCAGAGGCGACAGCGGUAAGGAACCGUAACUCCAUCUGUGACAGAAUGGAGAAAAAAACCUUGGGAGAAACCAGGCUCAGUUGGGGGGCCAGUUCUCCUCCGACCAGACGAAACCAGUAGUUCAGUUACAGGCUGCAGCAAAGUCAGAUUGUGCAGAAGAAUCAUCUGUUUCCUGUGGUCUUGUCCUGGUGCUCCUCUGAGACAAGGUCUUUACAGGGGAUCUGUAUCUGGGGCUCUAGUUGUCCUGGUCUCCGCUGUCUUUCAGGGCAGUAGAGGUCCUUUCUAGGUGUUGAUCCACCAUCUGGUCUGGAUACGUACUGGAUCCGGGUGACUGCAGUGACCCUCUGAUCUGGAUACAGACUGGAUCUGGUGGCUACGGUGACCUCGGAAUAAGAGAGAAACAGACAAAUAUUAGCGUAGAUGCCAUUCUUCUAAUGAUGUAGCAAGUACAUAGGGUGUUAUGGAAAGUGUUCCCGGUUCAGGUUUACCUAAGGCCUGGUUCACACGGGACGAUUUUAAAAUUGUCGGGCGAUUUUCCAAACCUGAGAGACCCCAUACACGGCGAUAAAAAAUCACGGGUCUAACAGUUUUGGUCGUUGAGUGUGUGGUGUGCAGCCACACGGCAAAAUCAACACAUCACACACGAACCGAUUUGACUCCCGAGCAUUCCCAGGUCAGACGGGAAAUCUCGCAAAAUCCCUCGAGAUCAAACGUGAAUUCAGAGUAAACAAUCAUUGCGGAAGAAGAGGACGCAGUGGCCAUAGUUUGUGCUUUGUUUUUAACGAAAAAAAAAAACAUAAGAAAAACAAGAAAAGGUGAUGGUCAAAGAGGUGGAGACAACGCGAGC